rnacentral:rRNA from 1 species
UACGAAGGGUCCAAGCGUUGUUCGGAAUCAUUGGGCGUAAAGCGCGCGCAGGCGGAUCAGUAAGUCAGGUGUGAAAUCUCGAAGCUCAACUUCGAAACUGCGCCUGAAACUACUAGUCUAGAGUGUCGGAGGGGGUAGGGGAAUUUCACGUGUAGGGGUAAAAUCCGUAGAGAUGUGAAGGAACACCGGGGGCGAAGGCGCCUACCUGGCGACUACUGACGCUGAGGCGCGAAAGACGUGGGGAGCAAACAGG